UACGUAGGGUGCAAGCGUUGUCCGGAAUUAUUGGGCGUAAAGAGCUCGUAGGCGGUUAGUCACGUCGGUUGUGAAAACCUGGGGCUCAACCCCGGGCCUGCAGCCGAUACGGGCUAGCUAGAGUUCGGCAGGGGAGACUGGAAUUCCUGGUGUAGCGGUGAAAUGCGCAGAUAUCAGGAGGAACACCGGUGGCGAAGGCGGGUCUCUGGGCCGAUACUGACGCUGAGGAGCGAAAGCGUGGGGAGCAAACAGG
rnacentral:rRNA from 1 species